CCCUUGCAAAGGUCUGAAGCGAAGAACGAGAUCUGAAUUUAUGAGGGACUUGGAAGAAGAUUUAAUCCUCCAGCACUCCAAGACUCGGCUCUGCCGGGGAGAAGCCCAGGCUCCUAUCAGGCAUUCCCAAAUUCUCCUGGAAUUUGGAAUAUCAGGGAAUGGAACAAAAUGGAAUCGUCAGGGCUGGUCUCUGACCUGCCAGCCCAGGUCCUAGACA